GAAGGUAGCGUAAUCAUUUGUCUUUUAAAUAGAGACCUGUAUGAAUGGCAUAACGAGGGUUUAACUGUCUCCCUCCCCUAGUCAAUGAAAUUGAUCUGCCCGUGCAGAAGCGGACAUAAACACAUAAGACGAGAAGACCCUAUGGAGCUUUAGACAAAAGAUCAAACAUGUAAAGAAACCUAGCUAACCAAAAGGAACACAAAGGCCACAAAACCAAACGUAAUAUGAUCUAAAUGUCUUCGGUUGGGGCGACCACGGGGGAAAGAAAAGCCCCCACGAGGAACUAGGGGCAAUCCAUUAAGUCAAGAGAUACACCUCUAAGCAACAGAAAAUCUGACCAAAAAUGACCCAGGACACUAAUCCUGAUCAACGAACCAAGUUACCCUAGGGAUAACAGCGCAAUCCUUUCCCAGAGUCCAUAUCGACGAAAGGGUUUACGACCUCGAUGUUGGAUCAGGACAUCCUAAUGGUGCAGCCGCUAUUAAGGGUUCGUUUGUUCAACGAUUAA
rnacentral:rRNA from 1 species